GCCUGCAUAGCUCAGUAGGUUAGAGCGUUCGCUUAGUAAGCGAAAGGUCGGUGGUUCGAAUCCGCCUGUAGGCU
rfam:Babesia bovis strain T2Bo chromosome 4 gcontig_1104837696308, whole genome shotgun sequence.